CACUCCUACGGGAGGCAGCAGUGGGGAAUAUCGCACAAUGGGCGCAAGCCUGAUGCAGCCAUGCCGCGUGUAUGAAGAAGGCCUUCGGGUUGUAAAGUACUUUCAGCGGGGAGGAAGGCGAUAAGGUUAAUAACCUUGUCGAUUGACGUUACCCGCAGAAGAAGCACCGGCUAACUCCGUGCCAGCAGCCGCGGUAAUACGGAGGGUGCAAGCGUUAAUCGGAAUUACUGGGCGUAAAGCGCACGCAGGCGGUCUGUCAAGUCGGAUGUGAAAUCCCCGGGCUCAACCUGGGAACUGCAUUCGAAACUGGCAGGCUAGAGUCUUGUAGAGGGGGGUAGAAUUCCAGGUGUAGCGGUGAAAUGCGUAGAGAUCUGGAGGAAUACCGGUGGCGAAGGCGGCCCCCUGGACAAAGACUGACGCUCAGGUGCGAAAGCGUGGGGAGCAAACAGGAUUAGAAACCCCUGUAGUCCCAUG
rnacentral:rRNA from 1 species